UACGGGGGGAGCAAGCGUUGUUCGGAUUUACUGGGCGUAAAGGGCGCGUAGGCGGCCUGUUAAGUCGAACGUGAAAUCCCCGGGCUCAACCCGGGAACUGCGUCCGAUACUGGCAGGCUUGAAUCCGGGAGAGGGAUGUGGAAUUCCAGGUGUAGCGGUGAAAUGCGUAGAUAUCUGGAGGAACACCGGUGGCGAAGGCGGCAUCCUGGACCGGUAUUGACGCUGAGGCGCGAAAGCCAGGGGAGCAAACGGG
rnacentral:rRNA from 1 species